ACACACCAACUGACAUGUGUGUCCUCCCUUAUGAAGAGGUAAAUGAAAGAGGAGAUGAGCUGACUGCCAUUAGUGGAUCCUUCUGGAAAUAAAGAGCGAGGUGGAGGAGGAGGAGAGGAGGAGAGGAGGUGCGUGUGAUAGUGGUGAUGGAUAUUAGGAGGAGAGCAGGG